AAAUAGGAAGCUAUAAAGCAGUUAAUUUCGACUUAACUUUUGAGUAUUUUAGCUACUCCCUAUUUA
rnacentral:tRNA from 1 species